rnacentral:rRNA from 1 species
CCCUUAGAUGUUCUGGGCCGCACGCGCGCUACACUGAUGCAUUCAACGAGUUUCUUCCUGGUCAGAGAGGAAUGGGUAACCUUUUGAAAGUGCAUCGUGAUAGGGAUAGACUAUUGCAAUUAUUGGUCUUCAACGAGGAAUUCCUAGUAGACGUAGUUCAUCAGACUGCAUCGAUUACGUCCCUGCCCUUUGUGCACACCGCCCGUCGCUCCUACCGAUUGAAUGCUCAGGUGAGCCAUUCGGACUUUCAUCAUGCUGGUUUCCAGUUUUGAUGAAGGAAAGUCUUGCGAACCUUAUCAUUUAGAGGAAGGAGAAGUCGUAACA